AUCUUUGGGAGCUUGCUCCCAAAGGUUAGCGGCGGACGGGUGAGUAACACGUGGGCAACCUGCCUGUAAGACUGGGAUAACUUCGGGAAACCGGAGCUAAUACCGGAUAAUAUAAGAGACCACAUGGUCUCCUAUUAAAAGAUGGCCUCGGCUAUCACUUACAGAUGGGCCCGCGGCGCAUUAGCUAGUUGGUGAGGUAACGGCUCACCAAGGCGACGAUGCGUAGCCGACCUGAGAGGGUGAUCGGCCACACUGGGACUGAGACACGGCCCAGACUCCUACGGGAGGCAGCAGUAGGGAAUCUUCCGCAAUGGACGAAAGUCUGACGGAGCAACGCCGCGUGAGCGAAGAAGGCCUUCGGGUCGUAAAGCUCUGUUGUUAGGGAAGAACAAGUAUCGUUCGAAUAGGGCGGUACCUUGACGGUACCUAACCAGAAAGCCACGGCUAACUACGUGCCAGCAGCCGCGGUAAUACGUAGGUGGCAAGCGUUAUCCGGAAUU
rnacentral:rRNA from 1 species